AGAACGAACGCUGGCGGCAGGCCUAACACAUGCAAGUCGAACGCGACCUUCGGGUCGAGUGGCGCACGGGUGAGUAACGCGUGGGAAUCUGCCCUGUGGUACGGAAUAACAUCGGGAAACUGGUGCUAAUACCGUAUAUCCCCUGAGGGGGAAAGAUUUAUCGCCAUGGGAGGAGCCCGCGUAGGAUUAGCUAGUUGGUGAGGUAACGGCUCACCAAGGCGACGAUCCUUAGCUGGUCUGAGAGGAUGAUCAGCCACACUGGGACUGAGAUACGGCCCAGACUCCUACGGGAGGCAGCAGUGGGGAAUAUUGGACAAUGGGGGAAACCCUGAUCCAGCCAUGCCGCGUGUGUGAUGAAGGCCUUCGGGUUGUAAAGCACUUUCGCACGUGACGAUGAUGACGGUAACGUGAGAAGAAGCCCGGCUAACUUCGCGCCAGCAGCCGC
rnacentral:rRNA from 1 species